GGAGAUGUGGCUCAAUGGUAGAGCACCUACCUGGUAUGCAUGAGGCCUUGGGUUCAAAUCCCAACACUGCAA
rnacentral:tRNA from 1 species